rnacentral:rRNA from 1 species
CAGCUUAACACAUGCAAGUCGAGCGGGGAAGGGUAGCUUGCUACCAGACCUAGCGGCGGACGGGUGAGUAAUGCUUAGGAAUCUGCCUAUUAGUGGGGGACAACAGCUCGAAAGGGAUGCUAAUACCGCAUACGUCCUACGGGAGAAAGCAGGGGAUCUUCGGACCUUGCGCUAAUAGAUGAGCCUAAGUCGGAUUAGCUAGUUGGUGGGGUAAAGGCCUACCAAGGCGACGAUCUGUAGCGGGUCUGAGAGGAUGAUCCGCCACACUGGGACUGAGACACGGCCCAGACUCCUACGGGAGGCAGCAGUGGGGAAUAUUGGACAAUGGGGGGAACCCUGAUCCAGCCAUGCCGCGUGUGUGAAGAAGGCCUUAUGGUUGUAAAGCACUUUAAGCGAGGAGGAGGCUACUUUAGUUAAUACCUAGAGAUAGUGGACGUUACUCGCAGAAUAAGCACCGGCUAACUCUGUGCCAGCAGCCGCGGUAAUACAGAGGGUGCAAGCGUUAAUCGGAUUUACUGGGCGUAAGGCGCGCGUAGCGGCUAUUUAGUCAACAUGUGAANUCCCCGAGCUUUAACUUGGGAAUUGCUUCGAUACUG